UUACAGCCAAAUCACGCUGAUAACACCGGUUCCAGUAAGAUCACUGAAGAUAAGCAACGUCGAGCUUGGUCAGUACCUAGAUGGGUGACAGCUUCGUAAUACCAUGUGUUGUAA